CGCGCGCAACGGGGUUGUGUAGUCAUACAGGAGGCCGCGCGCAGUGGAGACAGUCUAACAAAUCUUAUUUUACGAGCAAGUAAUUUAGGCAUAAAUAAUGUUUUCAGUGCAGCUUGCAUAUUUCCUGACCUACACACAUGUCAAUAAUUCAGAAAGCCUAACUGUAUGCGCGGCUACAGCAGAGGGAAAUCUCCAGGAUUGGUGAAGGCUGCAACAGCUCGGCUACGUUUAAAGCUCAGUCGCUACGGGUGCCCGGUAGCUUCACAGCGCAGACUAGAAUGCACAGAUGAACAAAAAGAGGACAAACAAGUUGGGUCGUUGAAAGUGCUGGAAAUGACUGGACAAUGUCUGCGUGAAUCCUGUACCAUAUUGUGAACAAAGUGAAUAUAUGUAGAGAAAAUGCAUUGAGUGUCUUCAGGAAUGGGCUGAAGGAAUUCAGGGACCCUUCACUGGUGGCAGCAAAUGGCUCAAUAGCCCCCCCCCCGCCCAGACAUAGGAUAAGGACCUGAACACAAUGGGCCAUCUACUGUGUUGGAGAAGUGUGUUAUACCUUGCCACCCUCCCCCCAGACACACACCUCCCAUCCUCCUAAGCCGGAACAGAAACACUUCCCAAUCCCUUCACCCCC
ensembl:lncRNA